AGAAUCAACGCUGGCGGCGUGCCUAACACAUGCAAGUCGAACGAGAAAGUGGAGCAAUCCAUGAGUAAAGUGGCGCACGGGUGAGUAACACGUGACUAACCUACCCUUGAGUGGGGGAUAACCUAGAGAAAUCUGGGCUAAUACCGCAUAAUACCUUCGGGUCAAAGGAGCAAUUCGCUUAAGGAGGGGGUCGCGGCCGAUUAGUUAGUUGGCGGGGUAAUGGCCCACCAAGACUAUGAUCGGUAUCCGGCCUGAGAGGGCGCACGGACACACUGGAACUGAAACACGGUCCAGACUCCUACGGGAGGCAGCAGUGGGAAUUUUGCGCAAUGGGGGAAACCCUGACGCAGCAACGCCGCGUGGAGGAUGAAGUCCCUUGGGACGUAAACUCCUUUCGAUCGGGACGAUUAUGACGGUACCGGAAGAAGAGCCCCGGCUAACUUCGUGCCAGCAGCCGC
rnacentral:rRNA from 1 species